rnacentral:tRNA from 1 species
UGCGGGAUCGUCUAGCGGUAGGACACCAGGUUUUGGACCUGGGUACCUAGGUUCGAAUCCUAGUCCCGCAGCCA